CUUUUGGCACUUGGCCCCAGAGCAUAGAUGGGGGCUGGGGUCCCUGGUCACUAUGGGGAGAGUGCAGCAGGACCUGCGGGGGAGGCGUCUCCUCAUCCCUAAGACACUGUGACAGUCCAGCACCUUCAGGAGGUGGAAAAUAUUGCCUUGGGGAAAGGAAACGGUAUCGCUCCUGUAACACAGAUCAGAUUAUAAGGAGGUACAGUUAACAUAACUAUAUUAUGGAUACAUAUAUUUAUGUUUUCUUCAUUAAUAUUGACUCUACUAGCUCAGAACUUGAGGCAGUUCUGCUGUCAUACUAAAAUGUAUUUUCAUGCUAUCCAAGUUAAUAAAGUUGUCUGAAUGUAA
rnacentral:sRNA from 1 species